CGCUGUGCGCCGCCUGCGCGCCAUCCACGCCCACCGACCCGCCGCCCGCGCCCGGACUAGUGACACCAGCUACAUAGGAAAAUUAGAAAAAUUUAAAUUUGAACAAAUCUUUUUCAAUUUAUGAUUUAGUUUAAUUUAGAGAAAAAUACUAUAUUUCCAUUAAAUCUUAAAAAAAGACAUCAUUGCUGUAUAUAUUUGUUACAUGCAUCAAAACUUCUUCUUAAUUUGAUAAGACUUAUAUAAUUUAUUAAAAUAAAAGGUAAUAUAAAAGGUACAAAAUGCUAUAUAUGAUAUGUUUCAUACUUUAUAUUUUUUUACAUACUUAAAUCAUUAGUUACGCACAAAAUCAUUAUAUGUUGAUUUAUAUGUAUGUCAUACAUUUGAGUAGGUAAGUAAAAUAUUCAUUUUUUUUGUCGGAAUUAAUACAGUUCUUCCAUACCGCUGGUUUGACUGAUGCAUACAAAUUCCUAUUUCAGUCGACUCAUUAGUUACACGUCCUUGCUAGACAAGUAGUAUAGUUUAAUCAAACAACGGCUUUCAGGAUCAAAUUGAAUAUCUUUGACAAACACUCGUACGUAGAUCUUGUUUGACGAACACAACAAUUGUCUAUUGGUUGUCAAACACUAUCAUUGGUUACCAUUAAAAAUGUUAAAAAUGUGAACUUCACCUUUAACUAUCAAGAUAAAUGCGUGAAACAGAUAUUAUUUAUGUAUUGAAGAAGUUUGAAUUUCUUUUAAAAUCUCUAUAUUAUUUUAAUUUGUUGUAUAUUGAAAAUAAUAAUGUCAAAACAAGAAUUAAAAUGUGAAUUGGUUUAAUUUCUAUACAGGUAGUUAUGUGUUCAAGUUGUUAUAAUUAAACACUUUAUAAAACUAAUAAACUAAUUAGUUAAAUUUAAUUAGAAAUAUAAUCAAGUAUUUAAACAAUAAACAAAAUCAGGAGGUGAAUUUCAAGUGAUUUUCUAUUUUUUUUAUUAAUUUUUUUUUUCAAAUUCUUCUACUUAAGUAUUAAAAACAAUUUGAUUCCAUUUAAACUAAAUGUAAUAUAAAGUAAAAUUCCUAAAAACGUAAUUGGAUUUUUAUUUUUAGUUUUUAAUAAAUAGCCUAUUAUAAAAAAUAAAAAAACUGAAAUGUUGCCAUAGCCGUACUUGUGGAGAAGUAGAUUAUUUUUGAAAAUUAUUUCCUAUACUAUUUUGUUACUUGAUAAUAAUUUGUAAAAAAUAUUUAUAAAUUUAUCUAUAGUAACUAAUUUCUCUGUACGAUAUGUGUAAUAUUUUCGUUUAUUGCAAUUAGUUUAAGAUGAAAAGAUAAUAAAUAAUAUCAAAACAAUUUAAUGUGGUUUUUAUUUCUUGUUAAAACAUGAUAAAUUGUAUUUAGUGGAUUUAAGCAAAACGUACUAAAUAAAAUACAUGUACGGUAUGCCAUUGCUAUUACUAAAUACAAAA
rnacentral:misc_RNA from 1 species